UACGUAGGUGGCGAGCGUUGUCCGGAUUUACUGGGCGUAAAGGAUGCGUAGGUGGAUACUUAAGUGGGAUGUGAAAUCCCCGGGCUUAACCCGGGAACUGCAUUCCAAACUGGGUAACUUGAGUGCAGGAGAGGAAAGCGGAAUUCCUAGUGUAGCGGUGAAAUGCGUAGAUAUUAAGAAGAACACCGGUGGCGAAGGCGGCUUUCUGGACUGUAACUGACACUGAGGCAUGAAAGCGUGGGGAGCAAACAGG
rnacentral:rRNA from 1 species